rnacentral:rRNA from 1 species
AGAGUUUGAUCCUGGUCUCANAAUCAACUGUCUGGCGGCGUGCCUCAGGCAUGCAAGUCGAACGCGAAAGUUCCCUUCGGGGGGCGAGUAGAGUGGCGUCCGGGUGAGUAACACGUAGGUAAUCUACCUUUGGGUGGGGAAUAACAAUCGGAAACGGUUGCUAAUACCGCAUAAUGCAGCGGCACCGCAUGGUGACAGUUGUUAAAGCGGGGGAUCGCAAGACCUCGCGCCUAUAGAGGAGCCUGUGGCGGAUUAGCUAGUUGGCAGGGUAACGGCCUACCAAGGUCAACGAUCCGUAGCCGGCCUGAGAGGGCGGUCGGCCACACUGACACUGAAAUACNGGUCAGACUCCUACGGGNAGGCAGCAGUCGGGAAUUUUGGGCAAUGGGCGCAAGCCUGACCCAGGCAACGCCGCGUGAAGGAUGAAAUCCCUCGGGAUGUANACUUNUCAANGAAUGGGAANAAUAAGUAGGGGGCUAAUACCCUCUAUCAUGACGGUACCAUUUGUAAGCUCCGGCUAACUCCGNGCCAGCAGCCNUGUAAUUANGGGGGGAGCAAGCGUUGUUUCGGAUCUUACUGUNGCGUAAAGGGCCCUUANGCNGUCAGUGCAAGUCCANNUUGUGAAACUCNCCGAGCNNUANCUCCGGACAGGUCAACUGNUANUGCUCGACUAUAGNGCGGAANGGGCACCUGGANUCCUUGGUGNNGCGNUGNGAUGCUUNAAUNUCC